rnacentral:rRNA from 1 species
GACGAACGCUGGCGGCGUGCCUAAUACAUGCAAGUUGAGCGCUGAAGGUUGGUACUUGUACCCACUGGAUGAGCAGCGAACGGGUGAGUACCGCGUGGGGAAUCUGCCUUUGAGCGGGGGACAACAUUUGGAAACGAAUGCUAAUACCGCAUAAAAACUUUAAACACAAGUUUUAAGUUUGAAAGAUGCAAUUGCAUCACCCAAAGAUGAUCCCGCGUUGUAUUAGCUAGUUGGUGAGGUAAAGGCUCACCAAGGCGAUGAUACAUAGCCGACCUGAGAGGGUGAUCGGCCACAUUGGGACUGAGACACGGCCCAAACUCCUACGGGAGGCAGCAGUAGGGAAUCUUCGGCAAGGGACGAAAGUCUGACCGAGCAACGCCGCGUGAGUGAAGAAGGUUGUCGGAUCGUAAAACUCGGUUGGUAGAGAAGAACGUUGGUGAGAGUGGAAAGCUCAUCAAGUGACGGUAACUACCCAGAAAGGGACGGCUAACUACGUG